UACGUAGGGACCAAGCGUUGUUCGGAUUUACUGGGCGUAAAGGGCGCGUAGGCGGCGUGGUAAGUCAAUUGUGAAAUCUCCGAGCUUAACUCGGAACGGUCAAUUGAUACUGCUGUGCUAGAGUACAGAAGGGGCAAUCGGAAUUCUUGGUGUAGCGGUGAAAUGCGUAGAUAUCGAGAGGAACACCUGCGGCGAAGGCGGGUUGCUGGGCUGAUACUGACGCUGAGGCGCGAAAGCCAGGGGAGCGAACGGG
rnacentral:rRNA from 1 species